AGUAGCUCACACAGAAGGGGUUGGACUGCUAACUUUGUGCUGUGAAGACCGCAACAAGUCAAGUCUGAGGUCCUCCAGGUCCAAGAGAGUAUGAACCAAAACGAGAGAGUAAGAGGGAGGGAGGGAGAUAGAGAGGGAGGGAGGGAUGAACAGGAUUUGUGGGCAGAAAAAGGGGCCAAGACAAAAAAUGGGUAGAGGUGGAGCAACACUGACAGAGAAUAAAAGAGUAUAAAUCACGUCCACAAAGGAUGAAAUAAAGAAGGACAAAGAGGAGAAAAUAUGGGAGACAGAACAGAGAAAACAAGCACGAGUAUGUGGAACAAAAUAUGAGGAAAAAGGGAGGAGGAGGCUGCCACAAAUGCUGGCAAAUAUUGACACACACACACACACACACACACACACACACACACACACACUCUGACCACUCCAACAGAGCAGACAUCUGGCCCAGAGUGGAUUAUGGGUAAUUAACUGCUCUUUAAUGAUUCCCGCUGAGCGAGGACUCGACAGCACAGGAACACAGAUUACACUCUGAUACACAAAAAAUUUGUGUAUUUGUAUCUGUGUGUGUAUAUGUGUGUGUUCAUGCCUCCAAAGAGCAAACCAGGGGAAUAACUGAGAUUACACUGUGACCCACUGCAGGGACACACACACACACACACACACACACACACACACACACACACACACACACACACAUACACUCAGACUGACACAAAUGUCCAUAGAGAUUUAUUCAUUUGCCAACCACCACAUCCUUAAACCCAUCCUUAGCCCUUAAUCCUGCCUUUUUGUCUGUGUAGGUGCGUGUGUGUGUGUGUGUGUGUGUGUUUCUGUGUGUGUGGGUGACUUUCAUCCUGCAGGUAUGAAUCCACUUUCUGAUUGUAUUACUUAUAAGCAAAUGUUUAAUUUCAAUUCACAUUCUUAGGGAACCCAGUGUGCGUCUUAUCAAAGAGGACUCACCAUAAACUGCACUGUGUAUGUGAGUGAGUAUAAGUGUUUGCGUGUGUGUGUGUGUGUGUGUGUGUGUGUGUGUGUGUGUGUGUGAAUACAACUUAAUCCCAGGCUUGUCCAUUUGUCAGUGACCCGAGGCCAAAUGCUGAAGAUAGUAUCGAGGCGACAACAGAAGGACUGAAGAGGAGGGAACACACCUGAGGCGAGGUCUACACGUUCUUCCUGGAGGAUGCCAAGUUGUUCCCAGGCCACGCUGGACUCCACAAAAUGCCCUGCGUCAACCCAGUCGAAUGUGGCCCAAAAUACCUCUAAAGAAGGUAGAAGGCAGAGAUUCUACCCAGAGCUCCCUUCGGAUGUUUGAGCUCUUCCCCCCUCCGAUCACGAAGGAUGAGCCCGAAUCCACUUGUAUGGACAGCAAGUCACUCUCAACCCAAAAGGAAGCAAUCCUUGGCUUCAGACUUUGAUUUGCUGACUCUCAUUCCAACAAACCGUCCAAGUGCAAGCUGGAGGUCACAAGUUUAAGAUGCCAAAAGAACCACAUCGUCGGCAAAAAAGCAGAGAUUCAACCCUGAGCCAACCAUACUGCACAUUCCCCACAGGUCUGCUUCCACUCAGAUUGUUUUUGACUUCCUGCCAAGAACUCUGAAUGAUUUGUUUAAGUAUGACAAUUAUGUGAAUCAUUUGCUGUAGACUUCCAGGGUUUUUCCUGCAGUAGAGAAUUAAAAGUUGGCCAAUUCGUGCCUUUUGGAAGAA